GCCCCCGUAGCUCAGCUGGUCAGAGCAGGGAACUCAUAAUUCUUUGGUCGUCGGUUCAAAUCCGACCGGGGGCACAA
rnacentral:tRNA from 1 species